UAGGGAAUAUUGCUCAAUGGGCGAAAGCCUGAAGCAGCAACGCCGCGUGUGCGAUGAAGGCCUUCGGGUCGUAAAGCACUUUUCUGAGAGAUGAGAAAGGACAGUAUCUCAGGAAUAAGUCUCGGCUAACUACGUGCCAGCAGCCGCGGUAAAACGUAGGAGGCGAGCGUUAUCCGGAUUCACUGGGCGUAAAGCGCGUGCAGGCGGUUCGGUAAGUUGGGCGUGAAAUCUCCUGGCUUAACUAGGAGAGGUCGUUCAAUACUACCGGGCUUGAGAGUGGUAGAGGAAGAUGGAAUUCCAGGUGUAGUGGUGAAAUGCGUAGAUAUCUGGAGGAACACCAGUGGCGAAAGCGAUCUUCUGGACCAUUUCUGACGCUCAGACGCGAAAGCUAGGGUAGUAAACG
rnacentral:rRNA from 2 species